rnacentral:rRNA from 1 species
CCAGCUCCAAUAGCGUAUAUUAAAGUUGUUGCGGUUAAAAAGCUCGUAGUUGGAUUUCUGCUGAGGACGACCGGUCCGCCCUCUGGGUGAGUAUCUGGCUCAGCCUUGGCAUCUUCUUGGAGAACGUAGCUGCACUUGACUGUGUGGUGCGGUAUUCAGGACUUUUACUUUGAGGAAAUUAGAGUGUUUCAAGCAGGCACGUGCCUUGAAUACAUUAGCAUGGAAUAAUAAGAUAGGACCUCGGUUCUAUUUUGUUGGUUUCUAGAGCUGAGGUAACGAUUAAUAGGGAUAGUUGGGGGCAUUCGUAUUUAACUGCCAGAGGUGAAAUUCUUGGAUUUGUUAAAGACGGACCACUGCGAAAGCAUUUGCCAAGGAUGUUUUCAUUGAUCAAGAACGAAAGUUAGGGGAUCGAAGACGAUCAGAUACCGUCCUAGUCUUAACCAUAAACUAUGCCGACUAGAGAUUGGAGGUCGUUAUCUAUACGACUCCUUCAGCACCUUUUGAGAAAUCAAAGUCUUUGGGUUCCGGGGGGAGUAUGGUCGCAAGGCUGAAACUUAAAGGAAUUGACGGAAGGGCACCACCAGGAGUGGAGCCUGCGGCUUAAUUCGACUCAAC